GACGAACGCUGGCGGCGUGCCUAAUACAUGCAAGUCGAGCGAAGCGGCGGAUGGGUGAGUCACGCGUGGGUAACCUGCCCCUAAGUCUGGGAUACCAUUUGGAAACAGAUGCUAAUACCGGAUACUAAUGGAUGGUUCUUCGAUGCAUUAGCUAGUUGGUAAGGUAACGGCUUACCAAGGCGAUGAUGGAAAGCCGAGUUGAGGGACUGAUCGGCCACAUUGGAACGGAAACACGGACCAAACUCCUACGGGAGGCAGCAGUAGGGAAUCUUCCACAAUGGACGAAAGUCUGAUGGAGCAACGCCGCGUGAGUGAAGAAGGUUUUCGGAUCGUAAAGCUCUGUUAUUGGUGAAGCGGUAAUCAACCAGAAAGUCACGGCUAACUACGUGCCAGCAGCCGCGGUAAUAC
rnacentral:rRNA from 1 species